rnacentral:rRNA from 1 species
AUUGAACGCUGGCGGCAGGCCUAGCACAUGCAAGUCGAGCGGAUGAAGGGAGCUUGCUCCUGGAUUCAGCGGCGGACGGGUGAGUAAUGCCUAGGAAUCUGCCUGGUAGUGGGGGAUAUCGUCCGGAAACGGGCGCUAAUACCGCAUACGUCCUGAGGGAGAAAGUGGGGGAUCUUCGGACCUCACGCUAUCAGAUGAGCCUAGGUCGGAUUAGCUAGUUGGUGGGGUAAAGGCCUACCAAGGCGACGAUCCGUAACUGGUCUGAGAGGAUGAUCAGUCACACUGGAACUGAGACACGAUCCAGACUCCUACGGGAGGCAGCAGUGGGGAAUAUUGGACAAUGGGCGAAAGCCUGAUCCAGCCAUGCCGCGUGUGUGAAGAAGGUCUUCGGAUUGUAAAGCACUUUAAGUUGGGAGGAAGGGCAGUAAGUUAAUACCUUGCUGUUUUGACGUUACCAACAGAAUAAGCACCGGCUAACUUCGUG